GGAUGACUCAUAUCUCAGGAAGCCCUUUGCUGCUUCUUUUACAUAUCACUCUUCUACUUUAGUAGUUCUUUCUUUCUUGCUAUAUCCUUCUCCCAGCCAAUGAAACUACUGUUGAAUACAAGAUUCUGGCCUUCUCUAUCUCCUUGCUGUUGCCAAAGGUUUCUUCCUCCAUGCCCUCUGCCAGAUCUCUUAUACCCCAGAGAUAGAGCUGACACAGCUGGAAGAGGAAGCUGCUCCCACACUUUUCCAAGGAACAGAAGGCUGAAGACAAGGGAACCAUCACAAGGUCAUGA
rnacentral:lncRNA from 11 species